CAGCCGCCGCGGUAAUACGUGGGGGGCAAGCGUUAUCCGGAUUUACUGGGUGUAAAGGGAGCGUAGACGGAAUGGCAAGUCUGAAGUGAAAUGCCCGGGCCCAACCCGGGAACUGCUUUGGAAACUGUCGAUCUGGAGUGUUGGAGAGGUAAGUGGAAUUCCUGGUGUAGCGGUGAAAUGCGUAGAGAUCAGGAAGAACACUGGAGGCGAAGGCGGCUUACUGGACAAAGACUGACGUUGAGGCUCGAAAGCGUGGGAAGCAAACAGGAUUAGAUACCCCGGUAGUCCCUGUCUCUUAUAC
rnacentral:rRNA from 1 species